UGGCCAAACUACCCUUCGGAACACAAUACCCUCGGGAAACUGAGGCUAAUAGUGUAUACCACACUCACUCUGGAAUGACAAGUGUGCCAAACGCUCCGGCGCCGAAGGAUGUGGCUGCGGCCGAUUAGGUAGACGGUGGGGUAACGGCCCACCGUGCCGAUAAUCGGUACGGGUGGUGAGAGCCAGAACCCGGAGACGGAAUCUGAGACAAGAUUCCGGGCCCUACGGGGCGCAGCAGGCGCGAAACCUUUACACUGCACGACAGUGCGAUAAGGGGAUCCCAAGUGCGCAGGCAUAGAGCCUGCGCUUUUGUACACCCUAGGGAGGUGCACGAAUAAGGGCUGGGCAAGACCGGUGCCAGCCGCCGCGGUAAUACCGGCAGCCCAAGUGAUGGCCGAUCUUAUUGGGCCUAAAGCGUCCGUAGCUGGCCGCGCAAGUCCAUCGGGAAAUCCACCUGCUCAACAGGUGGACGUCCGGUGGAAACUGCACGGCUUGGGACCGGAAGGCGCGACGGGUACGUCCGGGGUAGGAGUGAAAUCCCGUAAUCCUGGACGGACCGCCGAUGGCGAAAGCACGUCGCGAAAACGGAUCCGACAGUGAGGGACGAAAGCUAGGGUCUCGAACCGGAUUAGAUACCCGGGUAGUCCUAGCCGUAACAAUGCCUGCUAGGUGUGGCUCCCACUACGAGUGGGUGCUGUGCCGUAGGGAAGCCGCUAAGCAGGCCGCCUGGGAAGUACGUCCGCAAGGAUGAAACUUAAAGGAAUUGGCGGGGGAGCACUACAACCGGAGGAGCCUGCGGUUUAAUUGGACUCAACGCCGGACAUCUCACCAGCAUCGACUGUGGUAAUGACGGUCAGGUUGAUGACCUCGCCACGAGCCACAGAGAGGAGGUGCAUGGCCGCCGUCAGCUCGUACCGUGAGGCGUCCUGUUAAGUCAGGCAACGAGCGAGACCCGCAUCCGUACUUGCCAGCAGCACUGCGAAGUGGCUGGGGACAGUACGGAGACUGCCGUGGCCAACACGGAGGAAGGAACGGGCAACGGUAGGUCAGUAUGCCCCGAAUGUGCUGGGCAACACGCGGGCUACAAUGGUCGAGACAAAGGGUUCCUACUCCGAAAGGAGACGGUAAUCUCAGAAACUCGAUCGUAGUUCGGAUUGUGGGCUGCAACUCGCCCACAUGAAGCUGGAUUCGGUAGUAAUCGCGUGUCACAAGCGCGCGGUGAAUACGUCCCUGCUCCUUGCACACACCGCCCGUCAAAGCA
rnacentral:rRNA from 1 species